GACGAACGCUGGCGGCGUGCUUAACACAUGCAAGUCGAACGGAAAGGCCCUGCUUUUGUGGGGUGCUCGAGUGGCGAACGGGUGAGUAACACGUGAGUAACCUGCCCUUGACUUUGGGAUAACUUCAGGAAACUGGGGCUAAUACCGGAUAGGAGCUCCUGCUGCAUGGUGGGGGUUGGAAAGUUUCGGCGGUUGGGGAUGGACUCGCGGCUUAUCAGCUUGUUGGUGGGGUAGUGGCUUACCAAGGCUUUGACGGGUAGCCGGCCUGAGAGGGUGACCGGGCACAUUGGGACUGAGAUACGGCGCAGACUCCUACGGGAGGCAGCAGUGGGGAAUAUAGCACAAUGGGCGGAAGCCUGAUGCAGCAACGCCGCGUGCGGGAUGACGGCCUUCGGGUGGUAAACCGCUUUCGCCUGUGACGAAGCGUGAGUGACGGUAAUGGGUAAAGAAGCACCGGCUAACUACGUG
rnacentral:rRNA from 1 species